ACGCUCGACACCUACGGAGGCAGCAGUGGGGAAUAUUGCACAAUGGGGGAAACCCUGAUGCAGCGACGCCGCGUGAGCGAAGAAGUAUUUCGGUAUGUAAAGCUCUAUCAGCAUGGAAGAAACUGACGGUACCUGACUAAGAAGCACCGGCUAAAUACGUGCCAGCACGCCACGGUAAUCUGAGCGGGCUGGCAAGGC
rnacentral:rRNA from 1 species